GAUGAACGCUGGCGGCGUGCCUAAUACAUGCAAGUCGAGCGAACAGACGAGGAGCUUGCUCCUCUGAUGUUAGCGGCGGACGGGUGAGUAACACGUGGAUAACCUACCUAUAAGACUGGGAUAACUUCGGGAAACCGGAGCUAAUACCGGAUAACAUGUUGAACCGCAUGGCUCAACAGUGAAAGACGGUCUUGCUGUCACUUAUAGAUGGAUCCGCGCCGCAUUAGCUAGUUGGUAAGGUAACGGCUUACCAAGGCAACGAUGCGUAGCCGACCUGAGAGGGUGAUCGGCCACACUGGAACUGAGACACGGUCCAGACUCCUACGGGAGGCAGCAGUAGGGAAUCUUCCGCAAUGGGCGAAAGCCUGACGGAGCAACGCCGCGUGAGUGAAGAAGGUCUUCGGAUCGUAAAACUCUGUUAUUAGGGAAGAACAGAUGUGUAAGUAACUAUGCACGUCUUGACGGUACCUAAUCAGAAAGCCACGGCUAACUACGUG
rnacentral:rRNA from 1 species